rnacentral:lncRNA from 1 species
UGAUAAUACCGUAGCCUAUGCACAACGUUUAAUUUUAAAGUAUAUAUAUAGUAUUCAUUCCAAUCCGAUACAGAUUAUGUACAACAACCUACAAUACAUUGAAAUAAAUUAAACAAUAUUUCAUAUAUAGGUGUUAGAAAAUUUCGGUUUUCUGUAUUUAAGUUUAGUCUUCAAACCUAACGGAGGCUAUUUAUUGCUUAAUACAUUUUUCGUCCCUGUGACGAUUUCUAUCGCCGACGUGGGCGCUGCAGUUCACAAUAACACAAGUCAAUAAAACCCACUGUACUACAAUUAACAUAAAGGUUUUAAUUCUGUAAUUACUAAGAGUUAUCUAAUUUCCUAAAGUAUUUUUUUUUUAACAAACCCGAGUCCAACAGAGUGUAGCUACGUCUUCUUUCUUCAGCUAGCCCACAGCGCUUAACUUUCCGCGUAGUAUCAAACAUAUAACAGCGUCGUAUCUUGUUUGUUGAGAAUUUCAACGGAUAUGUCUUAUGAACAAAAGCGUGACGAAACUUGCUAACAAUCUGAAUAUUCUUAAAUCGCUUCGAGAUGUUUUUCUGUCGAUCUCAAAUGAACUUGAGCGUAUAUAGUCAGCGAACUUCAGUAUACUUCCAACAAAAGCAAGAUGUCCUUCCAAGUUGUUCUUCUCCUGAAGGUCUUCGUCGGAUUUUUUUAAUGUUUAGGAACUCCUUCCUUGCUUGUCCUGUU